rnacentral:lncRNA from 1 species
CUGAUGAUGCCUUUCCGCAUAUGUUUUACAAUGUUGAAAGUUUAACUUGUUCCAUUGCUCUUCAGAAUGUUUCGCUAAUUUUCUGGUGUUGCCUUCACUUGUUCCAUUGCCCUUCAGAAUACCUUGCCGGUUUUUUGUUGGCGCUUCGGGCAGGUGGACGGGUAAUGAUGCCGAUCUCCCUGGGACUUUAACUCGAAGACUUAUGUUUUUCAUGAGAUCGGCAUAUAAUAUCUGAGCUCGUUCAUAUGUAUCGUAAAUCACAUCUCAAGACGGAGCUUAGCCGGCCUACGAAGUUGAUUUUCCGAACUAUAAGAAUUCCUCUGAAUCGAAAGCUAAGAUAGUGGGGUAGGCGAUAGUGAUGUAAACGUAGAUGAUGAUGUAUCUGGGCGUGUAAAUCCUUUAGGGAUAGCCUUUUAGCCCGUAGUGUUGGUAUUUGUGACAUGCUGUAAUGUGUUUUUCUUUUAAUGAAAGUUUUGUUUUGCGUUCAUACUCGAACUGUUCUUUCUUUAUCAUAACUGAAGUACUUAGAUUGCUUGCUCUGUAACUUUUCCCAAAAGAUCUGCUGUAUUGCUUUCUCCUUCUUGCCCCUUUAAUCGUUUAGAACUAGAGUUCAUUCGGCCAGCUAAGCUUUUGACUUACUUUUUUCCGAACUGGACUAGUCGUACUCGUGAGCUCUGUUUUAAUCCUGUGAGCCGAGCUCUUGACCUUCUUAGGUAAUAAGCAGGGCUGGUCUUUAUCGUGCUUUCAUCUGCUUGUGUCUUUGAGCUUUUUAUUUAUCUUUUUUCGAGCUGGAUCAGUCGUAACCCUGAGCUCUGCUUUUAACCUAUGAGCCAAGCUUUCG